rnacentral:rRNA from 1 species
CGUAGGGUGCGAGCGUUAAUCGGAAUUACUGGGCGUAAAGCGUGCGCAGGCGGUUUAGUAAGACGAGGCGUCGAAAUCCCCGGGCUCAACCUGGGAACUGCGCUUGUGACUGCUAAGCUAGAGUACGGCAGAGGGGGUGGAAUUCCACGUGUAGCAGUGAAAUGCGUAGAGAUGUGGAGGAACACCAAUGGCGAAGGCAGCCCCCCUGGGUCGAUACUGACGCUCAUGCACGAAAGCGUGGGUAGCAAACAGGAUUAGAUACCCUGGUAGUCCACGCCCUAAACGAUGUCAACUAGGUGUUGGGAGGGUAAAACCUUUUAGUACCGGAGCUAACGCGUGAAGUUGACCGCCUGGGGAGUACGGCCGCAAGGUUA